rnacentral:rRNA from 1 species
CUCAGUUCGGAUUGGAGUCUGCAACCCGACUCCAUGAAGCUGGAUUCGCUGGUAAUCGCGCAUCAGCCACGGCGCGGUGAAUACGUUCCCGGGCCUUGUACACACCGCCCGUCAAGCCAUGGAAGCCGGGAGUGCCUGAAGUGCGUGAGCGCAAGCAGCGCCCUAAGGUAAAACCGGUGACUGGGGCUAAGUCGUAACAAGGUAAC